CUGGUGCCGGUAUUUGGAAUCAUUAGGUCUAACGCUCACCAACGAUCACCCUCAGAUCCAAAAGGAGAGAACGUAAAAUCACCCACUACUAUGACGUAUGGCAUGUAGCUAAAGCUGGAACAACUUGGCAAAGACAAGGACUGUGCUUUGGUGAAAAAGUGGCAUAAAAGCAUAGUCAACCACCUGUUCUGGUGUGCCACAAGCUCCGUCUCCAGAACAGAGAAGGUAGCGAAAUGGAAGUAUGUGUUGAACCACAUUCAAGAUGUCCACAGUCAUUCUGACCCAGCUUUCCCCAAGUGUGUACAUCAACCGAAGGCCUCAAAGGACUGUAGCAAGUGGUUUCAACCAGGUUCAUCAGCUCUGAACAGACUUGACAA